UGGCGAACGGGUGAGUAACACGUGGGUAACCUGCCCAUCAGAAGGGGAUAACACUUGGAAACAGGUGCUAAUACCGUAUAACACUAUUUUCCGCAUGGAAGAAAGUUGAAAGGCGCUUUUGCGUCACUGAUGGAUGGACCCGCGGUGCAUUAGCUAGUUGGUGAGGUAACGGCUCACCAAGGCAACGAUGCAUAGCCGACCUGAGAGGGUGAUCGGCCACACUGGGACUGAGACACGGCCCAGACUCCUACGGGAGGCAGCAGUAGGGAAUCUUCGGCAAUGGACGAAAGUCUGACCGAGCAAACGCCGCGUGAGUGAAGAAGGUUUUCGG
rnacentral:rRNA from 1 species